UCAAAAUAGCCUUGAAAAUCCCACCACAACCUAGACAAACAAAUUUAAUUUGGAUCAACCCUAAUUACUCUCAAUCACCAUUAGUCUUUGCUGCUCUCUACUGCCGUACCAUAUAUCAUGAGAGUCGGUGUCAGUAAGUAAAAACGACGACGUACAGCGAUCCAUUGAUCAGUCGAGCGCGGCUCAAAUCAGAUCACAUCAGAUGAAGGAAACAGAUAUUUAGCCUUUCCACCAAUCACAGCACGAAACGUGUCCUCAAAAACAAACCCGGUUUCCUCAAAACCACUCAUAGUCGUACUCUUCCGUCGUCUUCCCUGAUUAUUCGACUUCAACUCUCACAAUUUGAGAGCCAUUCUCCUCUUUCUCUCUCUCUCUCUCGAUUUUCUUUUUCCAUUCCACCAUACGGUCAAAAUCCUAAUUUGGUGCAGAAUGAAUAAUAUUCUGCUCUUCUUUAUAAACACCAAAAUAUUCUCUCUCUCUCCCUUUUUCUUUUUCGGCGUGAGCAGUACAUACGAUCGUCCCUCACUCAAAGCUCUACUACCGCCACUGAACUGGAUCCACUGCUUCAAGUUUUAAUAUUGUAUAUGGGGAUAAGUGUAGUACUGAUCACCAAGGACUAUCCUUGCACAGUGAAAAGACAAGUGAUUGAUCUGAUUAUUUUUUUACCUCUGGUAAGUGAGGCCAACUAACCAUGAACUAGUGUCAGUUAGAUUUUCAAGUUCUUGUACUACUCAAAUUAUCGAGUUAAUUAGAGUUGGCUAUAUGGUUUGCUGCUAUAGUGUCACAUACAGAUGCAUGCAUACAUACAUAUAUAUAUUCUCAUUUCAUCUUAUGUUAUAUAGUACUACAGAGUUAGGUUAUUAUUGCGACUUUAGCUCUGAGUAGUCACGAAAGAUAAAUACACUUGGAGAGUAGGUAUAUCUCUUUACUGAUUUUGGUAGGAAUAGGCUGUGAGCUAGAGUGACUUUUUUAUACUGUUGAAUUUGCUUACUUCUGGCUUGAAAGUUCCCUAGAAAUCUGGAAAUGAUUGAGAAUAAGUUUUUCUUUGCUAGUAGGAUGCUGUCUGUUUUACUCAUUUUUUAGAGAAUAACUUAUAUAGCUGUGCCUAUAUCUAAGAAAUGGGACCAAGUGACUUGUUGCUUUUACCAUUUUAAUUAGGUGCCUUCCCUUUCUCUGGCCUGCUUUCUUUUGUUUUUUGUUUCUUUAGUAAAAAAAAUAUGGUUAAUUUGUUUUGCCCGUACAAUUUCUUUUCUUGAUUUUUGUCGUGUUGUAACUUUUUAUUUUUCAAGAGAUUUAAAUUUUUGUCGAGGUGUA